UUGGCUUAGAAGCAGCCACUCAUUCAAAGAGUGCGUAAUAGCUCACUGGUCGAGUGAUCCUGCGCCGAAGAUUUCCGGGGCUAAAACUUACUACCGAAGCUACGGCAUCAGUAAUGAUUGCUUGGUGAGCUUCCCUUACGGGUUACAGCAUGACCGUAAUGGCAUGUUGACAGUAUGGGAGGGAGAACUGUGGCCUGAUGAGAGAGGAGUGGGUUGGAAUCCCACAGGCCGUAAGCCCAAGGUUUGCCGGGGAAGUUUCGUCCGCCCUGGUUUGGUCGGCACCUAAGCUGAGGCCGAAAGGCUUAGGUGAUGGACUACAGGUUGAUAUUCCUGUACUACCGAU
rnacentral:rRNA from 1 species